ACGAACGCUGGCGGCGUGCUUAACCCUUGCCAGUCGAACGGAGAGGCCCUGCUUUUGUGGGGUGCUCGAGUGGCGAACGGGUGAGUAACACGUGAGUAACCUGCCCUUGACUUUGGGAUAACUUCAGGAAACUGGGGCUAAUACCGGAUAGGAGCUCCUGCUGCAUGGUGGGGGUUGGAAAGUUUCGGCGGUUGGGGAUGGACUCGCGGCUUAUCAGCUUGUUGGUGGGGUAGUGGCUUACCAAGGCUUUGACGGGUAGCCGGCCUGAGAGGGUGACCGGCCACAUUGGGACUGAGAUACGGCCCAGACUCCUACGGGAGGCAGCAGUGGGGAAUAUUGCACAAUGGGCGGAAGCCUGAUGCAGCAACGCCGCGUGCGGGAUGACGGCCUUCGGGUUGUAAACCGCUUUCGCCUGUGACGAAGCGUGAGUGACGGUAAUGGGUAAAGAAGCACCGGCUAACUACGUG
rnacentral:rRNA from 1 species